AGAGUUUGAUCCUGGCUCAGGAUGAACGCUAGCGGCAGGCCUAAUACAUGCAAGUCGGACGGGAUCCGGCCUUUCGGGGCCGGUGAGAGUGGCGGACGGGUGCGUAACGCGUAUGCAACCCACCCUGUCCCGGCGGGUAGCCGGUGGAAACGCCGGGUAAUCCGCCAUGCGCCCCUGGGGGGCAUCCCCUUGGGGUGAAAGCGGCGACGCGGGACGGGACGGGCAUGCGUCCCAUUAGGUGGUCGGCGGGGUGACGGCCCACCGAGCCCACGAUGGGUAGGGGAUCUGAGAGGACGGUCCCCCACAUUGGAACUGAGACACGGUCCAAACUCCUACGGGAGGCAGCAGUGAGGAAUAUUGGUCAAUGGACGGAAGUCUGAACCAGCCAAGUAGCGUGAAGGAUGACUGCCCUAUGGGCUGUAAACUUCUUUUGUUUGGGAAUAAAGUGAGCCACGUGUGGCUUUUUGUAUGUACCUUACGAAUAAGCAUCGGCUAAUUCCGUGCCAGCAGCCGCGGUAAUACGGAAGAUGCGAGCGUUAUCCGGAAUUAUUGGGUUUAAAGGGAGCGUAGGCGGACCUUUAAGUCAGCGGUAAAAUGUCAAUGCCCAACAUUGGCCUGCCGUUGAUACUGUUGGUCUUGAAUACACACAAGGAAGGUGGAAUUCGUUGUGUAGCGGUGAAAUGCUUAGAUAUGACGAAGAACUCCGAUUGCGAAGGCAGCCUUCUGGGGUGCGAUUGACGCUGAGGCUCGAAAGUGCGGGUAUCAAACAGGAUUAGAUACCCUGGUAGUCCGCACAGUAAACGAUGAAUGCUCGUUCUUGGUGAUAUACUAUCAGGAACCAAGGGAAACCAUUAAGCAUUCCACCUGGGGAGUACGCCGGCAACGGUGAAACUCAAAGGAAUUGACGGGGGCCCGCACAAGCGGAGGAACAUGUGGUUUAAUUCGAUGAUACGCGAGGAACCUUACCCGGGCUUGAAUUGCAGAGGAAAGAUCCAGAGAUGGUGAUGCCCUUCGGGGCCUCUGUGAAGGUGCUGCAUGGUUGUCGUCAGCUCGUGCCGUGAGGUGUCGGCUUAAGUGCCAUAACGAGCGCAACCCUUGUCAUCAGUUACCAUCAGGUAGUGCUGGGAACUCUGGUGAGACUGCCAUCGCAAGAUGUGAGGAAGGUGGGGAUGACGUCAAAUCAGCACGGCCCUUACGUCCGGGGCUACACACGUGUUACAAUGGGGGACACAGAGGGCCGCCACCGGGUGACCGGGCGCCAAUCCAUCAAAAUCCCUCUCAGUUCGGACUGGAGUCUGCAACCCGACUCCACGAAGCUGGAUUCGCUAGUAAUCGCGCAUCAGCCAUGGCGCGGUGAAUACGUUCCCGGGCCUUGCACACACCGCCCGUCA
rnacentral:rRNA from 1 species